UCUUCAAGAAAAAAAUUUGAGGUAGGUCCUGCUCAAUGCUUAUAGGUAAAUGGCCGCAGUAUUUUGACUGUGCUAAGGUAGCAUAAUAAAUUGGCUUUUAAUUAGAGUCUUGAAUGAAUGGUCUGACAUAACCUGAACUGUCUCGGUUAAAUUAUGUUGAAUUUGAAUUGUGAGUAAAAAUGCUUACAUUUGUAAGGGGGACGAGAAGACCCUAUAGAUCUUAAACUUGAAAUUCAUGAAAUGUGAAUUUAAAGGUUUUAUUUGGGAUGAAUCUAAAAAUUUAAACUUUGGUUAAUUAAAAGACUUAAUGGUCAAUAUUGGAUCCAUAUGGUUGGAAAGAUGAAUAAGUUACCUUAGGGAUAACAGGACAAUAAUUUUAUCAUAGAGCUUAUAUGUAUAAAAUGUUUGUUACCUCGAUGUUGAAUUAAGUUUGCUUUGGGAAGUAGAAGUUCCGUGAGUUAGUCUGUUCGACUAUUAAAUGC
rnacentral:rRNA from 1 species